rnacentral:rRNA from 1 species
GGAUGCGAUCAUACCAGCACUAAAGCACCGGAUCCCAUCAGAACUCCGAAGUUAAGCGUGCUUGGGCGAGAGUACUACUAGGAUGGGUGACCUCCUGGGAAGUCCUCGUGUUGCAUUCC